rnacentral:tRNA from 1 species
GCUCCUUUAGCUCAGUGGGAGAGCGCGCCACUCGUAUAGCGAUAUGGUGAGGUCACUAGUUCAAUCCUGGUAGGGAGCA